GACGAACGCUGGCGGCGUGGAUUAGGCAUGCAAGUCGAACGGUAGAAAGUCCUUCGGGGGCUUUUGAGAGUGGCGAACGGGUGAGUAACGCGUAGGUUAUCUGCCCUCAAGGCGGGGGACAACCCGGGGAAACCCGGGCUAAUACCGCAUGUGCACAGUAAUGUGUAAAGAUGGCGUAAGCUGUCGUUUGAGGAUGAGCCUGCGUCCUAUUAGCUUGAUGGUGUGGUAACGGCGCACCAUGGCGAUGAUAGGUAGGCGGCCUUAACGGGUGGUCGCCCACACUGGGAUUGAGAUACGGCCCAGACUCCGUACGGGAGGCAGCAGUCGAGAAUAGUCUACAAUGGACGAAAGUCUGAUAGUGCGACGCCGCGUGAACGAAGAGACCUUUCGGGGUGUAAAGUUCUUUUCUGUGCGAGCAGUGGUGGUUACAGUAAUAUGGUGAUCACUUUGAUAUUAGUACAGGAAUAAGCCACGGCUAACUCCGUG
rnacentral:rRNA from 1 species